UGCUUUUGUAUACGCAGUUUAGCUGACAACUGCACUGGAUGUACAGAGAAAAUUUGCGGCAAGGAGACGCGAGGAGGAGAAAUGACACUGAUGCCAACUGCCAGUGCUGGUACCCAUGCCAUCUGCUGCCGACUGUCACGUGGCUGAGCUCAGUCACGUGGUUGCGUCUCGAGGGACAUCCAUUCCACAGCGAUCAUCUGGCAUCCGCAUUAUGGGGAACCACCCUGGAGCUCUCAUUUACCGUUUACAGUUUAUCUGACUCAAUAAAUCUGUAAUUUGGAUGUUUGUGUGAAUAUGG